rnacentral:pre_miRNA from 1 species
UAUGUACUCCCUCCGUCCGAAAAUACUUGUCAUCAAAAUGGACAAAAAGGGAUGUAUCUAGAACUAAAAUACAUCUAGAUACAUCCCCUUUUAUUUAUUUUGAUGACAAGUAUUUCCGGACGGAGGGAGUACUUC